GACGAAGGUGGCAAGCGUUACUCGGAUUUACUAGGUGUAAAGCGUGGGCAGGUGGUUUGGUAAGUCUGCUGUGAAAGCUCCCGGCUUAACUGGGAGAGGCCAGUGGAUACUGCCAGGCUUGAAUAUGGGAGAGGUGACUGGAAUUCCUGGUGUAGCGGUGAAAUGCGUAGAGAUCAGGAGGAACACCAAUGGCGAAGGCAGCUCUCUGGGACGGUACUGACGCUGAGACGCGAAAGCGUGGGGAGCGAACAGG
rnacentral:rRNA from 1 species